UGUUCAUCUCUUUUGUUUUGUUUGCAUCAAUGAGUAUUUGAGUUUUUCGUAGUUUGUUUUUAAGUGUAAUCGUAAGUAUUUCUUGGUCUCUAUUCUCUAACUCAACUUUUAAGGUGUGACUUUUUUUUUUUUUCUGUAAAGUUUUGUGGUGGAUUGACCAGAGAGAAUAAGGCCUUGAAGGUGUUUGAUGAAUUGUAGGCUUUGUAGCAGUGAGUGUAUUAAAUAAAGGUGUUUGAGAUAUUUUUCAUAAGAUUCUAACUGGAAUUCCGAAUUGAUUUUGAAAAGAAAAAUAAAAGUCAACUUGUUUUAAAUCUUGUUUCAAAUGCUUUCCUUUAUCUACAUGUGAGAACAGGAGAAAUGAUUCAAGAACUUGUUUCAUCAAGUAAAAGAUCUAAAUAAGUGGAUUUGAUCAUUCUAAAGUUACUUGAUUUCAUCAUCCGGAAGCUAUCUUCUUCUGUUGAGCUUUCACUUUUCUUAUUGUGCAUGCUUGUUUGGAGAGAGGUAUCACUAAGCAAUCUGCCAUGAUAAUGUGUAUUUAGGAAAGUAUGUAUGGCUCACGGCGGGGAGCAAAUUCCUGAGCGUUGGACCUAUGAUGUGUUUUUAAGUUUCGGGGGGCAGAUGUGCGGAAGAACUUUGUAAGUUAUCUCUACAAUGGUUUCGGAAGAUGUGGCAUAAAUAUAUUUAUGGAUGAUGUGGAAUUGGAAAGAGGAGAAUAUAUUUCCUUGGAGCUAUUAAAGGCCAUUGAAACCUCGAAGAUUCUCAUUGUUGUCUUAUCAAAAGACUAUGCAUCAUCAACUUGGUGUCUUGAUGAGCUUGUUCACAUUAUGAAAUGCCAGAAAAGUAAAACCCGCCAGUUGGUUUUUCCAAUUUUCUUUUAUGUUGACCCAUCAUAUAUACGGAAGCAGAAAGGGUCGUAUGCUAUAUCAUUUAUUAAACACAAAAGACAUUACCCAAUAAACAAACUAAAGGAUUGGAGAGAAGCUUUAAAAGCAGUAGCUAAUCUAUCCGGGUGUGACAUGAAAUAUGGGUUAGUUAUUCUCAUGGUUCUUGUUGAUUCUCUUAAAUUC